UGAUACUAACCAGCAUGAGGUACCACAUCAACAGAAUGAUCAACAUGAGACAAGGCUGAGCAAUGAGAUUCAUAAAGAGCCUAAUGACUCUCCAACACUGGUGGCAGGAAAGACUAAGCAGGAAGAGAAAGGGAAGCAAGUUCAAAGCCCUGAAUUCAACCUCAUCAACUUUCCACCUUUAUCCCCUAUUGUUGUUAGCAAUCAUUUUG
rnacentral:lncRNA from 1 species